rnacentral:rRNA from 1 species
GACGAACGCUGGCGGCGUGCCUAAUACAUGCAAGUCGAACGCAUUUUCUUUCACCGUAGCUUGCUACACCGAAAGAAAGUGAGUGGCGAACGGGUGAGUAACACGUGGGUAACCUGCCCAUCAGCGGGGGAUAACACUUGGAAACAGGUGCUAAUACCGCAUAAUUCCAUUUACCGCAUGGUAGAUGGAUGAAAGGCGCUUUUGCGUCACUGAUGGAUGGACCCGCGGUGCAUUAGCUAGUUGGUGGGGUAACGGCCUACCAAGGCUGCGAUGCAUAGCCGACCUGAGAGGGUGAUCGGCCACACUGGGACUGAGACACGGCCCAGACUCCUACGGGAGGCAGCAGUAGGGAAUCUUCGGCAAUGGACGCAAGUCUGACCGAGCAACGCCGCGUGAGUGAAGAAGGUUGUCGGAUUGUAAAACUCUGUUGUUAGAGAAGAACAAGGAUGAGAGUGGAAAGUUCAUCCCUUGACGGUAUCUAACCAGAAAGCCACGGCUAACUACGUG